AUUGAACGCUGGCGGCAGACCUAACACAUGCAAGUCGAGCGGAAACGAUCCUAGCUUGCUAGGAGGCGUCGAGCGGCGGACGGGUGAGUAACGCGUGAGAAUCUACCCAUGAUGGGGGACAACCCGGGGAAACUCGGGCUAAUACCGCAUACGCCCUACGGGGUAAAGCAGGGGACCUUCGGGCCUUGCGCUGAUGGAUGAGCUCGCGUCGGAUUAGCUUGUUGGUGAGGUAAAGGCUCACCAAGGCGACGAUCCGUAGCUGGUCUGAGAGGAUGAUCAGCCACACCGGGACUGAGACACGGCCCGGACUCCUACGGGAGGCAGCAGUGGGGAAUCUUGGACAAUGGGGGCAACCCUGAUCCAGCCAUGCCGCGUGUGUGAAGAAGGCCUUCGGGUUGUAAAGCACUUUCAGCAGGGAGGAAGGCUUACCCCUAAUACGGGUGAGUACUUGACGUUACCUGCAGAAGAAGCACCGGCUAAUUUCGUG
rnacentral:rRNA from 1 species